ACUCCUACGGGAGGCAGCAGUGGGGAAUAUUGCACAAUGGGCGCAAGCCUGAUGCAGCCAUGCCGCGUGUGUGAAGAAGGCCUUCGGGUUGUAAAGCACUUUCAGUGGGGAGGAAAGGUUGAUGGUUAAUACCCAUCCAGCUGUGACGUUACCCACAGAAGAAGCACCGGCUAACUCCGUGCCAGCAGCCGCGGUAAUACGGAGGGUGCGAGCGUUAAUCGGAAUUACUGGGCGUAAAGCGCAUGCAGGUGGUUUGUUAAGUCAGAUGUGAAAGCCCGGGGCUCAACCUCGGAAUUGCAUUUGAAACUGGCAGACUAGA
rnacentral:rRNA from 1 species